AACGCACAUUGCGCCCCUUGGUAUUCCGAGGGGCAUGCCUGUUCGAGCGUCAUUACAACCCUCAAGCAAUUGCUUGGUAUUGGGCUCCGCUGCUUACCCAGCGGGCCUUAAAAUCAGUGGCGGUGCCGUCGAGGCCCUGAGCGUAGUAAAUAUCCUCGCUACAGGGACUCGGUGGACGCUGGCCAUCAACCCCCAACUUUCUAAGUUUGACCUCGGAUCAGGUAGGGAUACCCGCUGAACUUAA
rnacentral:misc_RNA from 1 species